CCUACGGGCGGCAGCAGUGAGGAAUAUUGGUCAAUGGGCGGAAGCCUGAACCAGCCAAGUAGCGUGCAGGAUGACGGCCCUACGGGUUGUAAACUUCUUUUAUACGGGAAUAACGCGCCUUACGUGUAGGGCUUUGCAUGUACCGUAUGAAUAAGGACCGGCUAAUUCCGUGCCAGCAGCCGCGGUAAUACGGAAGGUCCGGGCGUUAUCCGGAUUUAUUGGGGUUAAAGGGAGCGUAGGCCGCAUGUCAAGCGUGCGGGGAAAUGUCCGGGCUCAACCCGGGCCUUGCAGCGCGAACUGGCGUGCUUGAGUGCGCGGAAAGCAGGCGGAAUGCGUGGUGUAGCGGUGAAAUGCUUAGAUAUGACGAAGAACCCCGAUUGCGAAGGCAGCUUGCUGCAGCGGAACUGACGCUGAUGCUCGAAAGCGUGGGUAGCGAACAGGAUUAGAUACCCCAGUAGUC
rnacentral:rRNA from 1 species